GCCAUAGGCAGGAAGCAGGGUCAGCUCUCCUGCUCUCCUGCCCUCAGGGCUGGCUGGCUCACCCACUCCCACGCCUCCAGAGCCGGCCCCACUGUGCUACCCAGACCCAGAGAACAGCCUCCCACCUGCUGCUGUGCAUGGCCCUGUGGACGUCUGUGAACUCGAUGAGUUGAACACAGUUUGCACCAGGCAGGCAGAGUUGAUCCAGGACACUCAUCUCUCUGGGGUGAAGAAAUGGGAAAUCCUCGGGAACCCGUAGGCCGCUCCCUGUCUUCCAGGUCUUGAACUUUCAUCAGUCAUCACGUGUCACCAAGCUAAGCAGAGAUUGAAGAUAAGACACAAAGGUGAUGGGACACCCACGGGAGCCAGAAGAACUACUUACCUUGAGCUCUGGGUUGCGUGCCUAGAAGCCUAAUGAUUCUGUCCUCUGAACUCCCACAGUCAACAAACACUCCCUUUUCAUACUUAAAGUGGUCUGGGUUUCUAAUGCCUAAGUUCUAUAGGACAUCUUGAGAGGGAAGCAAUUAUUUGCUCAUGACCCAAAGAUGACCAAGUGUUUGCCACCAAUUCAUGGCUUUAUGUUCCCUCUAGUAGUUUAUUUCUGACCAAAAGAACAUAGCAAUGUGAAGGAAUGUGAGGUCCAUUGCCAAGGAUCAGCCUUGGCUUAGAGAGGUGUUCCUGAAGAAGGGGUGUUUGGGAGCAGCAAAAGAAUGGCUCAAAGUCAAUUAUGGGUAUAAACUGACAGCUCUGUGGUCUGCUCAAAAGCUCCCUAGACCGCUCUCUGCUUGAGACAGCUCUCUUUUACUAGAAAAAAAUUAUAAAAGCUCUAUGAAUAGGUCAUGGGUUUUCUGACUUUAACCUGCUAGAUAAAAUUCUUGGGUUUUCCAAUCAAAGUCAGAAAAAUUGCUAGACGAAAUUCUUGGGUGUUCCAACCAAAGUCGGAAAAUCUAUUAGAAAAAAAUCUUGAAUUUUCUCACUGAAGUCAGAAAGCCUGCCAGACAAAUUCUGAAAAGGAACUGCUAUAUCUCUCUAGACAGCUCAUCUCUUGCAGAUCAAAAGUCAAGUCUUAUUUACAUAUCAAUUCAAUUGUUUACCCAGGUUCCCUUUUGAUUAUCCCAUGAAUCAGCAAUUUAUGACCUUAGACCCAUGAUUCUUAGAAGAAUACAACAGAUACAAUUCUUUUUAGCAUGGCAAAAGAAUUCAGAGAUCUGCCGGCCUUCCUUCUUAAGCACAAACAAUAAACUUACCUGGGUGGGCUCUCACUUUGAGUGCCACUCCCUAUGUGUCUUUAUCGAGUUCCUUAAUCUUUUUCUGACAAGCUCGCUCAUGAUGCAACUGUUUCUAUUCAUUUAGAUCCAUGAAGUCUGUCAUAUAAUUUAUAUUUCAUCCUUAUAUUUUGCAUAGUUAAGAGAUCCUGUCUAUAUAUGUUUUUGAACUCAUGUUUUCGGAGUUCUUUCCUACAGCCUUAAGGGUUGUCCUGAAGGUCUCCGCAUUACAGAGACACAUUCUUGCUUCCUAGAGUCAUGCAGUUCCUAAUUAUCAUGGAGUCAUUAACCUUAAUAGGAAGAGCAUUCCCCAAAGGAGGAACAUAAAAAUAUGUGCAUUAUUAUACAAACAAAGCCUCAUGCCUAGCAAUCAUCAAUAAUCAUGAAGGCCCAAAUCCUGCCCAGGAGUGGAAACUGUGUCAAGCCAUCCCUUCAGCAUGGCAGGACUUGGCAUUCUGUACAUGACAAAAGAUCUGUAAGCAUAAUUCUUUCAUAAGUCAGUUAUGAUGAAGUAAGGUGGCACAUUAGAGGGCCCUAUGCAGCAAGGAACAGAGGGAUCCUCCAGCCAACAGUGGAGUUAGGCCCCAGCCUCCCAGUUCACAGCUGCUGGAUCUUGCCACAGACAUGUGAAUGGGCUUGGAUGGGAAUCUUUCCUCGGGCAAGCCUGCAGACAGCACUCCGGUCCCCCAUAGCCUCAUACAAGGUCCCAAGGCAGGGCCCUGGGCUAAGCUGCUGCUGUAUUCCUGCCCCACACCCUAAACUGUGAGGAAAAAAAAUUCUUUUUACAUCAAUACAUUUGGGGAUAAUACAUUAUGCAGCAAUAGAUAACUAACACAGGCCUUAUUAUGCAGGAAUCUUCUCCCCAGAAAAGGAAGAUUUAAAUUCUGAUUAUAGAAGAGCUCCCUUGUGAGGGCUGAGAGUAGAAUAGCAUUGCACAAGGUCAGCCUUGUAGGUGUGGGAGGAGGGGAGGAGGGAGUAACUGGUGGUGGAUUUUGGAGCUAAGAAAUGACCGGGAUGUCUUAUAACUGACUUUAGUGAUGGCUGUAUGCUGCAGAACCCUGCUACUAAGGUUGCAGUCUACCAUGUCUGGGUGGCUCUCUGAGCUCCCUGCAAAAUGGAGGACCCCCUUUCUCAGCAGGGCUUCAUCCCCACCUUUCAUCCCUUUCAUCUGCCUGUCCUUGUCUGGAGAACGUCUUUGAGCACAGAUGACAGAUCUUAUUUGGGGGCUGUCCCUGCGUAGAGCUUCCUGCAUGUGCUGUGUGACUCAGCACAUAAUCACUGCUCUUCCUUCCUGCCCAUAUGAUAAUUAGUGGCUAUGUUAUGACCAAUAGACCUUUCCCACCUGUACGAUAAUUAGGUUCUGCAUUAUGUCCAAUCAGUGCUUCCUGCCCAUAACCCUAACAGCCCUUAUAUACCCUACCUCCAGAACAACACAAUGAGCUGUCUCUCUGAAGCUGACUCUAGGAAUCUCUUUCCACCAUACUUAACAGCUGUUUGAAUCCUGCUUGCCGCAUCUGCUACCUUUGUGGGGCAGUGGCCAAUGACCCAUGAGGAAAAGGGAGACCCUUGGUGGCACAGUUUUGUGGAUUUUGGCCCAGACACCAUUAGUGUAACCACUGACAUUUGCUACUCCAGACCAUAGGCACUUGAGUCUUCCACGGCUGCUAAGGGAAGCCUCCAUUUGAUCCAACACCUACAUCUAAAGCUACCAAAACCCUGAACCUAGAGACAGAAAAGUUCAUUGAUUCUGCCCAGGUCCCAGGCCUCAGCUCUAGCUGCUAGUGACAAGAAGAGGGAGAGCCCAUGUCUUCAAGAGCUUCUAAGGUGGGAGGCAGGUCCCUCAUCAAUCCUG